UAUUACCAAGUUACUGAGUGAUUUGAAAAACAAAUAUAUAUUUUAUUUUCUAUCUCAUUUAGUUCUUGAAUUAACGUCAUUUGUCAAAUCUUAGGGUUCAACCCUGGACAGGCGGUGAAAACUACCAAGCUAGAGCACGGUAGGGGCGGAGGAAAUUUCCUGUGGAGCGGUGAAAUUCAUAGAGAUCGAAAAGAACAUCAAUGGUGAAAGCACUUUGCUGGGCCGACACUGACACUAAUAGACGAAAGCUAGGGGAGCGAAUGGGAUUAGAUGCCCUAGUAGUCCUAGUAGUAAACAAUGGAUACUAGGCACUGUGCGUAUCGACUCAUGCAUUGCUGUAGCUAACGCAUUAAGUAUCCCUCUUGGGGAGUACGUUCGCAAGAAUGAAACUCAUAGGAAUUGACAUGAGCCCGCACAAGCGAUAGUUCACAUGCAUGUCAUGUCAUCAAUUAUUUU
rfam:Gossypium hirsutum cultivar TM-1 chromosome 2, whole genome shotgun sequence